CAUAACGGGGCUCCUGCCUGCAGCAAGGCAGAGGCAGACUAUGUCGUUCAUUUCCCAUCAUGUGGCCCUGCUUUCCCUCCCCUCUUUCAACGCCAGACAGUCAAGCCUAGCCCACGUUUUUUAGCCCACGCAACGCCUGGCUCGAAGCACAGGGAGGCAAAACAGAGUGGCUUCGCGCGCGGGACUGCAGCCACGGAAGUGAUUUUGGCGGGGAAACGCAUCGGUCGGCUCGUCUGGCGCUCUCCCUCGCUGCAGCAGACGAUCGACGAGAAUCUGCGCCGAUCGACGGAAGAUCUUGCCAGCUACCCUCCCAAUCUUUCCUGAUGAUUCUAAUCUGCAGGUAGCACACACUUGUACUUUUUCACAAAUCUGGAAAUUUACUUGUAUUUGUUCAUGAUUUGUGCAGUAUUUAUUGAGUUCUUGCCUUCUAAUUAAGAGUUCAUGGCACAACCCAACAAAGAGAAUGUGGUUCCUGUGUGCUUGCCUCAAGUUGGUCAGAAGUUUAGAAACUUGCAUGAUGCUUGGUUAUUUUGGAUAAACUAUGGAGGCCGUGCAGGUUUUGAGGUCAGAAAAAGGUCUAGUUGGACAAGUAAAAUGGAUGGAAAGGUUACUUCAUGUAGAUAUGUUUGUGCGAAGGAGGGUCGUCGAGCAGAAGACAAGAGGGAUCAUCUGACAAAGAACCCUCGAGCUGAAAUAAGAACAGGUUGUGAUGUUCAUAUGUGAUGUUCAUAUGUGUCUAUCAUUAGAUCGAGUGGCCGGACAUUAUGAAGUGGUGGAAGUAAUGCUUGAUCACAAUCAUGGUGUUUACUUUCCACAAACCUUCCAUUUGAUGCUAUCACAAAGAAAGAUUUCAGAUUUGCAAGCUUUUGAAAUUGAGGCCGCCGAUGACUCUGGAAUUAGGCCAAAAGCUGCACAUGAGUUGGCUAGUCGCAUAGUUGGAGGACGAAUGAAUCUCGGCUACACUUCUCGUGAUCUAAAAAAUCACUUGCAAAGCAGGCGUCAAAGGGAGUUGGCAUAUGGUAAGCAUGAAGCAUGUUGAAGUAUUUUCAAGACAAGAUAUGUGAGAACCCUUCUUUCCAAUGUACUUUGCAAUUGGAUUGUGAAGAACAGAUUACUAAUAUAUUCUGGGCUGAUGCUAAGAUGUGCAUUGAUUAUGCACACUUUGGGGA